rnacentral:rRNA from 1 species
GGAAAGGCGCGCGAUACAGGGUGACAGCCCCGUACACAAAAAUGCACAUGCUGUGAGCUCGAUGAGUAGGGCGGGACACGUGGUAUCCUGUCUGAAUAUGGGGGGACCAUCCUCCAAGGCUAAAUACUCCUGACUGACCGAUAGUGAACCAGUACCGUGAGGGAAAGGCGAAAAGAACCCCGGCGAGGGGAGUGAAAAAGAACCUGAAACCGUGUACGUACAAGCAGUGGGAGCACGCUUAGGCGUGUGACUGCGUACCUUUUGUAUAAUGGGUCAGCGACUUAUAUUCUGUAGCAAGGUUAACCGAAUAGGGGAGCCGAAGGGAAACCGAGUCUUAACUGGGCGUUAAGUUGCAGGGUAUAGACCCGAAACCCGGUGAUCUAGCCAUGGGCAGGUUGAAGGUUGGGUAACACUAACUGGAGGACCGAACCGACUAAUGUUGAAAAAUUAGCGGAUGACUUGUGGCUGGGGGUGAAAGGCCAAUCAAACCGGGAGAUAGCUGGUUCUCCCCGAAAGCUAUUUAGGUAGCGCCUCGUGAAUUCAUCUCCGGGGGUAGAGCACUGUUUCGGCAAGGGGGUCAUCCCGACUUACCAACCCGAUGCAAACUGCGAAUACCGGAGAAUGUUAUCACGGGAGACACACGGCGGGUGCUAACGUCCGUCGUGAAGAGGGAAACAACCCAGACCGCCAGCUAAGGUCCCAAAGUCAUGGUUAAGUGGGAAACGAUGUGGGAAGGCCCAGACAGCCAGGAUGUUGGCUUAGAAGCAGCCAUCAUUUAAAGAAAGCGUAAUAGCUCACUGGUCGAGUCGGCCUGCGCGGAAGAUGUAACGGGGCUAAACCAUGCACCGAAGCUGCGGCAGCGACGCUGAUGCGUUGUUGGGUAGGGGAGCGUUCUGUAAGCCUGCGAAGGUGUGCUGUGAGGCAUGCUGGAGGUAUCAGAAGUGCGAAUGCUGACAUAAGUAACGAUAAAGCGGGUGAAAAGCCCGCUCGCCGGAAGACCAAGGGUUCCUGUCCAACGUUAAUCGGGGCAGGGUGAGUCGAC